rnacentral:tRNA from 126 species
GGCGGAGUAGCUCAGCCGGUUAGAGCAGCGGAAUCAUAAUCCGCGUGUCGGGGGUUCGAGUCCCUCCUCCGCUACCA